AUGCUCCCAAUUAAUUGUAUAAUUUUAUUGUUCAUUUAUUAUAUUUAUUACUUCCUGUUCCAGACUGAAACAAUCAUCCAGCGUUUGGAAAGAGCCCUGUCACUUUCAGGAACUACAUCUGUGGAUCCUCAUUUCAUAACAGAUGUUAUUCUGCCCGAGGCUCUGAUUCAGUGGGUGCAGACUACAAAUGUCAUCUGCCGUUUUCAAGCAGAAGACUUGCUUAUGAAGACCAAGCCAUUCAUUGACAAUGAAGGGUAUAGUAACAUUUGGGUGCUGACUCCUGUUAGGAGCAUGUAUAAUAAGCUGAAAUUUUGAAACGCUAUGAUUUCUCUGACCUCACAGAAAAGCAGAACUGGCCAUUAAUGAUGACACUCCAAAGGUAAAGCACACAUAACAAGUAUAGUAUAUAGUACAUAUGUAUAUAUUUACAGUGAGGGCGGAGGGUGUUUGAUGUCCCGGGAAUUUUGCAACUUCUACUUCGAAAUCAAAGAGGGGUUUUCAGCAUACAUGCAUAAACAUUGCAUGUAUAUAUAUAAAUGUGUGUGUGUGUGUGUGUGUGUGUGUGUGUCUGUCUGUC
rnacentral:lncRNA from 1 species